GUGCUCGCUUCAGUAGCACAUGUACUACAAUUGGAAUGAUACAGAGAAGAAUAGCAUGGCCCCUGCGCAAGGAUGACACACGAGUCCUGAUGCUGUGCAUUUCA